CACUGCUGCGACUUUGUAUUCGCUUUUGAUUUUGUAUUCGCUUUGGUGGCUUCACUCGCAUAUUCGGCGCGCUCCAUCUGCCUUUUGUUUAUUAAUCUGAGCUAUAUAAUACAACGCAGAUCGACGAAAAAAUAGUCAAGCA